rnacentral:rRNA from 1 species
ACACUCCUACGGGAGGCAGCAGUGGGGAAUUUUGGACAAUGGGCGAAAGCCUGAUCCAGCAAUGCCGCGUGCAGGAUGAAGGCCUUCGGGUUGUAAACUGCUUUUGUACGGAACGAAAAAGCUCCUUCUAAUACAGGGGGCCCAUGACGGUACCGUAAGAAUAAGCACCGGCUAACUACGUGCCAGCAGCCGCGGUAAUACGUAGGGUGCGAGCGUUAAUCGGAAUUACUGGGCGUAAAGCGUGCGCAGGCGGUUAUGUAAGACAGAUGUGAAAUCCCCGGGCUCAACCUGGGAACUGCAUUUGUGACUGCAUGGCUAGAGUACGGUAGAGGGGGAUGGAAUUCCGCGUGUAGCAGUGAAAUGCGUAGAUAUGCGGAGGAACACCGAUGGCGAAGGCAAUCCCCUGGACCUGUACUGACGCUCAUGCACGAAAGCGUGGGGAGCAAACAGGAUUAGAAACCCUAGUAGUCCCA